rnacentral:rRNA from 1 species
GCGCAGCAGUCGAGAAAACUUCACAAUGUGCGAAAGCACGAUGAGGGAAUCCCAAGUGCUUGCACGUAAGUGUAAGCUGUUUCUCUGUCUAAAACGCAGAGAGAGUAAGGGCUGGGUAAGACGGGUGCCAGCCGCCGCGGUAAUACCUGCAGCUCGAGUGGUGACCGUUAUUAUUGGGCCUAAAACGUCCGUAGCCGGUUUAAUAAAUGCCUGGGUAAAUCGGACCGCUUAACGGUUCGAAUUCCGGGUAGACUGUUAAACUUGAGACCGGGAGAAGUUAGAGGUACUCCUGGGGUAGAGGUGAAAUUCUGUAAUCCUAGGGGGACCACCAGUGGCGAAGGCGUCUAACUAGAACGGGUCUGACGGUGAGGGACGAAGCCCUGGGGCGC